AAGUCGUAACAAGGUUUCCGUAGGUGAACCUGCGGAAGGAUCAUUAUUGAAUAAACCUGGCUUGGUUGUUGCUGGUCUUUUCGGAGACAUGUGCACGCCUUGUCAUCUUUAUAUUUCCACCUGUGCACCUUUUGUAGACUUGAGGACAGAUUUCCGAGGCAACUCGGUCGUGAGGAAUUGCUUUAACCGGCUUUCCUUGAAUGUCUUCAAGCCUAUGUUUCAUAUACACCAUAAGAAUGUAACAGAAUGUCAUUAUUAGACUUAUGUCUUAUAAACUAUAUACAACUUUCAGCAACGGAUCUCUUGGCUCUC
rnacentral:misc_RNA from 1 species